rnacentral:hammerhead_ribozyme from 1 species
GUCUAGCUGACGAAUCCUAAAUAGGACGAGAUGCGCGUCUCGGAU